rnacentral:lncRNA from 1 species
CGCGCCUCCGCACUCCCGCGCCGCCAGGCCCGGCCACUGUCGCCGUGCCGGCCGCCUCGCCGCCCUCCACCGCCCCGUUUAGUGUGAUUUACGAUCGGAUAUUUACUGUGCACUAUACUGUUUGUGAGCGAUGCACGGAGAGCCCUGCGCCCUGUUUAACCGUGCCGGCUGCUCUCAUAUGGAUGAUCACCUCACAAAAGAUAUGACGCGGCUUUGAGUAUAGAUGCCUCCUACGAAACAGUAUACACAAAAUAAUAAUAUUCAAAUUGAUAUAGGUGAGAAUAUAAAGUAUUCUUUAUGGUCAUGUUUUGAAACGCAUUUCGUAUGUAGUAGGUAAAGUGGAAUGUUUGUUAUUCAAACUAGCCUACCUGACCUUGGAUUCCGAUAAAUGUUAGGUCUAAAAAAGCUUUGUAAUAGUGAUUACGCAAGUAUCUAAAUCCAUUCUGCUAGUUUUGAUUCAGUUUUAAAUAGAUAAUCGAAAAAAAUUGCACAUAUAUUUUGUUUUACCGAGUACCUUGAGUUAUAAAAUGGACGUAAUGAUUUAGAAUGUUUUAAGAUCAUUUUUGUAAAUGCAAUAUACAUCAUCAUGUCUUCGCAAUCAACUCCUGAGAGUAGUGGAAAACAUAAUAAAUGAGCUGUGAAGCGAGAUAUCCUUGGUUUCAUCCCAAGUUUAGACUUUCCUCGGUAUUGCACUCCCCAGUAAAUUCUAGGCCCUAACUAUAAAUAUAUUAAAUGUUGACACUUGGUAAGUCAAUAAUUUUAACUAAUAAAUUAUCGGUUUUUAUAACAUAAUGACGAGAGGUAACCAGCUAAAUAUGGAACUUCCGAUUGCUAAAGAUUUUAGAAAGGGUCAAAUUUAAAUGUUAUCGAUCUAUUCAAAUAUUGUGAUAUGCCAUGAAUAACAAUGAAAAGGGACGGAAGGACGUAGACCUCGUAACAAAUCGUUGAAAUUUAAAUUAAAAAUAUAAACACAAAAAAGAUUUACUAUUGCCUGUCUUUCAACUCGAUUUGGUGAGUGUCCUGAAUGAUAAUUUUGUUAUGAUAUAAUAAUUUACAAAUAAUACCAGCUUAAGAGGAACGAGAUUUUGAUAUUAUUAUAAUUAAAUUUGAAUAUAACGUUCUUCAAAUGAAUAGUAGGAAAAGGGUAAUUUCCUUGCUUCCAAAGUAGGAAUCUUGCCUUAGGAGCUAUCUUCACUCUUCCUACAUUUGAAAUAUUAAGUUAAGGAAUAAAACUGACUAAUAAUGAUAAAGUUGUGAUUAGGGUUAACAUUUUAAUUUAAUUCUUAGCUCUACGUGAUUGCUCUGAUAACAUUGCACAUAUAUCAGUCACACUCGUUUGAAAUACAAGUGAGUGUACAGUGUAAAUACAUGUAGGACGUAUAAAAUGUAAGAAUUCACACCAAAUUUACCAAGUAUUUCAUAACACCAGCCCAAUCACAAUUAUAGAGAAUACAAGUGGUGGGUGUGCGCAGAUAGUAUGUACAAAUAAAUAAUAUUUAAGCAAUAUGUAGUGAAAUGUAAUAUAAUUGCUUGGAGUAUUUUGAAAUGUAGACUUGUACACACAAUAUAUCUAUGUGUAGAAUAAUUUUGUUUCGGUUUGGUCCACUGUGGACGACGUCAUAUUAUACAAUGUUCCAUAAUGUGUUAAUCAAUUGAAAUUUGUCAAUAUAUAAUGCGAAAUAACGUCCAUGUUACUUUUGUAAAUCAAAAAAUUCUUGAAUAACAUUGACAAUAACGCGUGAUGAGGAAAAUCUCAUACCUGCUCAUCUCAUACAUGCAAUACCUAGAGACGCGGUGUUACCAACACUAUGAAGGGGGUGGGUACACCAUGUUUUCCACAACUGCCUAUCAGUUUUUCAAUGUACACUAAAUGCUAUUGUAACCAAUAAUUAACAAAUAAAUUACUAGCAUAACGAAUGCUCAGUGAAUCAUGUUCCCGGAUGCACAUCUUAUAAAUAUUCAUUAUUUUAAUCCAGGUUAGGUAUGGUCGGUGUAAUUCUGAUAGGGAAAGUACUAAUACAAUUCUUGUAUCCAGUAAGAACAUCUCAAACUAACUAAAUCACAAUUCAAAAAUAGCUAACAAGGUCAUUUCCGCAAUAUUAUAUUCGAUUUGCUUACACCAACGUCGUUUAUCCUAUCUUGGAAAUCCAAACACGAGUUUUGGUUCACACUGCCUAAUUAUUAUGACAAACGCAUAGAUAUUAGAAUGGAUUUCGUGAAGCGAUCUAUGCAGGGUAUGGCUUGACAUUUAUAUAUUAGUACUAUGAAAUACAGCAGGCAGAUCUUCGAUUUAAAAAAAAAAUCAACCCUGUUUUUAAAAAAAAAAACUUUUAUAUUUUAAGAAUUUAAUAACUGUAUAAAUAUGUGCCGCAUAGUCAUAAUAUGUCAGCAUUACUGGUGAAGUCCUAUUAUUUCGAACUAUAUGUGGAGCAUUAAAAAUUUAGAGGUUUAUGAGUUUAUUAUGGGAAAA